CAUGCAAGUCGAGCGAAGCACUUUGGAAAGAUUCUUCGGAUGAUUUCCUUUGUGACUGAGCGGCGGACGGGUGAGUAACGCGUGGGUAACCUGCCUCAUACAGGGGGAUAACAGUUAGAAAUGACUGCUAAUACCGCAUAAGACCACGGUACCGCAUGGUACAGUGGUAAAAACUCCGGUGGUAUGAGAUGGACCCGCGUCUGAUUAGGUAGUUGGUGGGGUAACGGCCUACCAAGCCGACGAUCAGUAGCCGACCUGAGAGGGUGACCGGCCACAUUGGGACUGAGACACGGCCCAGACUCCUACGGGAGGCAGCAGUGGGGAAUAUUGCACAAUGGAGGAAACUCUGAUGCAGCGACGCCGCGUGAAGGAUGAAGUAUUUCGGUAUGUAAACUUCUAUCAGCAGGGAAGAAAAUGACGGUACCUGACUAAGAAGCCCCGGCUAACUACGUGCCAGCAGCCGCGGUAAUACGUAGGGGGCAAGCGUUAUCCGGAUUUACUGGGUGUAAAGGGAGCGUAGACGGCACGGCAAGCCAGAUGUGAAAGCCCGGGGCUCAACCCCGGGACUGCAUUUGGAACUGCUGAGCUAGAGUGUCGGAGAGGCAAGUGGAAUUCCUAGUG
rnacentral:rRNA from 1 species